GGACACCAGGUCAGACAAUCUAGAGACAGGGACAGCUUCCGGGGACUGCAGGAGACCCCUGACAGGCAACACUUUUUUUUUUUUUUUGAGACAGGGUUUCUCUGUAGCUUUGGAGCCUGUCCUGGAACUAGCUCUUGCAGACCAGGCUGGCCUCGAACUCCCAGAGAUCCGCCUGCCUCUGCCUCCCGAGUGCCGGGAUUAAAGGCAUGCACCACCACCGCCUGGCAUCCCAACCCCAACAUGGCGUCGCCCCAUAACAUCUGAGCUCCUAGAUGUCCCAAAGCUUCAGAUGACAAACGCAUUUUCCUGUCUGAUCUCUACUCAUUCUUCCUGAGACAGGGUCUCAAUUGUAGCGCAGACUGUGUUAAACUCGUCCCAAUCCUUCCUCAGCCACCCGACUACGGGGAUGACAGGCAUGUGCCAUCACGCCCAGCUACUGCUGACCUCUCGUCUAAACAGUCUGCGGCUGAGGAGUCUCCGCAGGCCUCCCAGCACAGAUGCCGAGCUCAUCCCUCACUAACUCCCAGAAGGAAACGUGUCGUGUCUGCUAUCUCUGCACUUGACUUUCACUUGGCUCUUGGAGACCAAUGAUGCCAGUUUCCUGGAGUCUGCAGCAGCACUCAGUCAAUGCUCAAGGCCACAACCUGACUGUGCAAUCCAGAAGGUCACCAAGCUCAGCAAGUGUGUACAACUGACCACGCCCCCAGCCCCUCACUGGCGGAUUCUAGGCGGGGCUUCACCUUGACCACGCCCCCAGCCCCUCACUGGUGGAUUCUAGGCAGGGCCCUGUCCCUAGCCAUUCUUUUUUGUUUUGCUUUUUUUUUUUUUUUUUUUUUUUUCCUAGCUGUAGACCAGGCAGGCCUUGAACUAACAGCUCCACCUGCCCCUGCCUCCCUGAGUGCUUAGGACUAAAGGCAUUUGUGCUGCCACCAGCCGGCCUCUCAAGUGGUAUUUCCAGCAAUCCUCCUGUGGAGGGCAAUCCCCCCUGUGCCGCCCACACUUUGCUCUCCCCGUCAGAGCCUUGGGGAAUGGGAGGAUUCCAUUCUGUCUGGGUGGAUAUUCCUAACUCAUAGGCAAGCACCUAUAAAGACUGACUCGGUGAACUCGGCUGCAGUCCCUGGGUGCUGUCUCCCAGGCUCUAGCCCAGAGCUGUUGAGCACCUACAUUCAUGUGCUGAUAAUGUGUGCACAGUCAGUCACGACCUCUAGAGAAAGGGUGUCAUCCUUCCCCAGGGUGUAGACUUCAUUCUUCCCCAGUGACUCAGGUCAGAGGGUGGAGCUCCUGGUUGGGAUUCAAGGCCACUGGGCCCCUCUCUGUUGUGGGCUGCAGGUAGGACUGCCUUGCCAAGGAUCUAUAAACCUGAGUUCUGCUGGGUUAGCAGCCUACUCCUUUAACCUCUGGGAUUCAGAGGCAGGAGGAUCUCUGUGAGUUCUAGGCCAACCAGAGCUACAUAGAGAGACCUUGUUUCAAAAAUCAAAAACAAUAUCAGCAGCAGCAGCAACAACAAAUCCUAAUUUAGCUCUCUGUGCCUGGUACAAACUCUCAACAGAUGCUUGCAGUGACUGUAAAUCUGACAGAUGAAAUUCCAGAUCCAGCAGGGGUUUUAGGGUCCCCGAAGGAGCCACUGCUUGAUGGUGGUUGGCAACCAGUCUGCAGAAGCCCUGGUGGGGACAAAGGGCCCCUUCAAGGUAUUCAGCUCUCCACAGGGGUCUGUUGUCAGCUCUGCCCGUCGAGGACAAGGGGGCACAGAGAGGUGGAGUUACAAGUUCCCCUAGCGGUGAUGGUGGAGCCCGUUCUUUCCCAGCUAGGACCUCCUCCUCCAGAAAGCCUGCUCUACCCAGCCCCACCCUGGAACUGUGACUCCCUAUAGAAACUGAGUUUAUGGUCCCUGCGGGCACACCUGCUUGCUCUGGCUUCCUACCUGCAGGGCAAAGGUGCCUUGGUGGGGCCAGCAGGUCACCUAGUAGGGUGGUGUCCUUAGGAGUCCUCUGUCUGUCCUGCCCCUCAGGGCCUCCUUGUUGCCUAGAUAGCUGGCCCUGGGGAAACCAG